ACCACCCACUCACUCUCACGUUGUAGCUACUCGACUUCAAACGCCAAAAACCAACAAUAUUCAAUCGCUUACGCUUACGCAAAUAAAAUUUGCAAAACCUAAAAAUCACUUCUCUUGUGUUCAACCGUGUUCUGUUGCUAUCACCGUGUCUUCGCCGGUGUUCUGUUGCCACAAUCUCGCCGGAGCCUAGCAUUGUGGUCUUCUUCAUCUUCACACUUCAAUUCAGAAACAAACAAUUGGCCCAAGAUGAGAACCUUUUCCUAGAAAACAUUAUACGGCUGCUACUUCAAGAAUUUGUGGUAUGUUAAACUGUUGCCCGUGUUUAUAGAUUGUUCUUUUGUUUGGGAUUUCUGAUAUUUUAGAUCACAUCUUGUUGUACUUAAAUUUUCCACAGGAGCAAGGUGAUCUAAAUCAAAUUCAAUUGUUUUUGGUCAGUGGGUAAUUAAUUGUGUGUUUGAUUUUUUUUAGGUGACUUCUUCUCUAAUAUGAUAUGGUAUUAUUUUGUUACUUGCUAAAUCUAGCGUGAGUUAGUACAAUCAAUCAGAAACUAGAUAUCGAUUUACGUAGGGGUUUAAUUAAACACUACUUACUAAAUUUGUUUUAGUGAUACGUUUUUUGGUUAAUUGUGCUUGUUAUAAAGUAUAAUUUGGUGGUGCUUUCUGUAGGAGUAGUUGUGGUUUGUGUAUAUUUGUGAAUAGGUUCAUUAGGUGCCUUCUAGUUUUCUGUAGAUUAUAAGUCUCCCUCCCCAAAGAUUUAGGUACACUAUGUUUGGAUCCGCAUUGGAAUUUUAUGAAAUUGCAGUGAAAUAGCACAGCUGCACAGAAGCUUUACAUUGUAGCUUCAUGAAUAUUGCGUCCAACUUAGAUUGGGAUGGGAGGUUUCCUAUGCAAGCGCGGAUCUAAACAAAUGUUUAGUUGCAUCCGCACCUAGUUUUUUUAUAAGGAGAGCUGAUAUGGACUGAAGUGAGUAUUACUAUGUGACAUUUGUGGCUACGUUGAGAUUUUGUGAGGCUAUGAUAUCUAACGUUUAUGAUCUGGAUCUGGAUGACUACGUUUUAUUAAGAUCCCUAGAUGUCUAAAUUAUUAGUGACAUCAUAAAUUACUAAUCACCAAUUGUGGAUUGUCUGAUGUUGAUAGAUAUUACUAACAACAGGUUAUAUUUAUAUUCUUCUUCUAAGUUCUAUUUUGUUUUUGUUCUUACUUUAUUUUCUAAUGAGAUGUAUUGAAUGUUUGGUUGAUGAAAUGGUAGGGUAUAUUGAUAAAUGGACAGUUUCCAGGACCUCAGAUUGAAGCUGUCACUAAUGAUAACUUGAUUAUCAGUGUUUUCAAUAGCUUGGAUCAACCUUUUCUGUUUUCUUGGAAUGGAGUAGAGCAGAGAAGAAAUUCAUGGCAAGAUGGAGUAUAUGGAACAAACUGUCCAAUUCCACCAGGAAAGAACUUCACUUAUGUUCUUCAAGUAAAAGAUCAGAUUGAGAGAAAGUGGUGGUUCCCGUGACGAAACCGUACGUAACGUUUGAAGGUGAAGGAAGAGAAGUAACAGUGAUAGAAUGGCAUGAUAGAACGAGUGAUCCUGGUCCCAAUGGACAACAGCUACGGACUUAUAGAACUGCUUCUGUUACCGUUUUCGCUAAUUAUUUCUCUGCAAGAAAUAUCACCUUCAAGGUGUUGCAAAAGAAUGAUGCUAAUGCAUAUAUUUUGCGCUUUAAAAUUUUAAGGUGGCGCAUCUCUUCACACUGGGGUUUCUAUUCCUCAUCGCUUGCAUUGGAAAAGAAUGAGAAAGGAAAAGGGUGCAGAUCCAUCAUUGACCGAGUUCUAUUUUCUUUUCAUUUUGACUUGGUUGUAAUUUGGAUUGUAUUAUCUUUUUAACUUGGUUGACAAAUGAUUAGUAAUAACUUGAUUUUUUGAAUCAUUUUUAGUAAUGACUAUGUAAGUACUUACCAAUUAUGUUAUAUGAAUUCAAGGUUAAUUUAAAUUGAAAA